rnacentral:rRNA from 1 species
UACAGAGGGUGCGAGCGUUGUCCGGAAUCACUGGGCGUAAAGGGCGCGUAGGCGGCCUGAUAAGUAGGGGGUGAAAUCUUGCGGCUCAACCGCAAGGCUGCCUUCUAAACUGUCAGGCUGGAGCACGGUAGAGGCAGAUGGAAUUCCCGGUGUAGCGGUGGAAUGCGUAGAGAUCGGGAAGAACACCAGUGGCGAAGGCGGUCUGCUGGGCCGUUGCUGACGCUGAGGAGCGAAAGCGUGGGGAGCAAACAGG